rnacentral:rRNA from 1 species
UUGUUGGUGAGGUAACGGCUCACCAAGGCGACGACGGGUAGCCGGCCUGAGAGGGCGACCGGCCACACUGGGACUGAGACACGGCCCAGACUCCUACGGGAGGCAGCAGUGGGGAAUAUUGCACAAUGGGCGAAAGCCUGAUGCAGCGACGCCGCGUGAGGGAUGACGGCCUUCGGGUUGUAAACCUCUUUCAGCAGGGAAGAAGCGAAAGUGACGGUACCUGCAGAAGAAGCGCCGGCUAACUACGUGCCAGCAGCCGCGGUAAUACGUAGGGCGCAAGCGUUGUCCGGAAUUAUUGGGCGUAAAGAGCUCGUAGGCGGCUUGUCACGUCGGUUGUGAAAGCCCGGGGCUUAACCCCGGGUCUGCAGUCGAUACGGGCAGGCUAGAGUUCGGUAGGGGAGAUCGGAAUUCCUGGUGUAGCGGUGAAAUGCGCAGAUAUCAGGAGGAACACCGGUGGCGAAGGCGGAUCUCUGGGCCGAUACUGACGCUGAGGAGCGAAAGCGUGGGGAGCGAACAGGAUUAGAUACCCUGGUAGUCCACGCCGUAAACGGUGGGCACUAGGUGUGGGCAACA